rnacentral:tRNA from 1 species
GAAGUCUUUGCCCAGCAGGCGUUCCCAGGGGCCGUUGGGGUCGGCCUUCGCGAUGUCGUCGCGGAGGUCCUGUUCGAACCAGGGUGGGGUUUG